rnacentral:rRNA from 1 species
AUAAUGGGUCAGCGACUUAUAUUCUGUAGCAAGGUUAACCGAAUAGGGGAGCCGAAGGGAAACCGAGUCUUAACUGGGCGUUAAGUUGCAGGGUAUAGACCCGAAACCCGGUGAUCUAGCCAUGGGCAGGUUGAAGGUUGGGUAACACUAACUGGAGGACCGAACCGACUAAUGUUGAAAAAUUAGCGGAUGACUUGUGGCUGGGGGUGAAAGGCCAAUCAAACCGGGAGAUAGCUGGUUCUCCCCGAAAGCUAUUUAGGUAGCGCCUCGUGAAUUCAUCUCCGGGGGUAGAGCACUGUUUCGGCAAGGGGGUCAUCCCGACUUACCAACCCGAUGCAAACUGCGAAUACCGGAGAAUGUUAUCACGGGAGACACACGGCGGGUGCUAACGUCCGUCGUGAAGAGGGAAACAACCCAGACCGCCAGCUAAGGUCCCAAAGUCAUGGUUAAGUGGGAAACGAUGUGGGAAGGCCCAGACAGCCAGGAUGUUGGCUUAGAAGCAGCCAUCAUUUAAAGAAAGCGUAAUAGCUCACUGGUCGAGUCGGCCUGCGCGGAAGAUGUAACGGGGCUAAACCAUGCACCGAAGCUGCGGCAGCGACGCUGAUGCGUUGUUGGGUAGGGGAGCGUUCUGUAAGCCUGCGAAGGUGUGCUGUGAGGCAUGCUGGAGGUAUCAGAAGUGCGAAUGCUGACAUAAGUAACGAUAAAGCGGGUGAAAAGCCCGCUCGCCGGAAGACCAAGGGUUCCUGUCCAACGUUAAUCGGGGCAGGGUGAGUCGACCCCUAAGGCGAGGCCGAAAGGCGUAGUCGAUGGGAAACAGGUUAAUAUUCCUGUACUUGGUGUUACUGCGAAGGGGGGACGGAGAAGGCUAUGUUAGCCGGGCGACGGUUGUCCCGGUUUAAGCGUGUAGGCUGGUUUUCCAGGCAAAUCCGGAAAAUCAAGGCUGAGGCGUGAUGACGAGGCACUACGGUGCUGAAGCAACAAAUGCCCUGCUUCCAGGAAAAGCCUCUAAGCAUCAGGUAACAUCAAAUCGUACCCCAAACCGACACAGGUGGUCAGGUAGAGAAUACCAAGGCGCUUGAGAGAACUCGGGUGAAGGAACUAGGCAAAAUGGUGCCGUAACUUCGGGAGAAGGCACGCUGAUAUGUAGGUGAAGUCCCUCGCGGAUGGAGCUGAAAUCAGUCGAAGAUACCAGCUGGCUGCAACUGUUUAUUAAAAACACAGCACUGUGCAAACACGAAAGUGGACGUAUACGGUGUGACGCCUGCCCGGUGCCGGAAGGUUAAUUGAUGGGGUCAGCGCAAGCGAAGCUCUUGAUCGAAGCCCCGGUAAACGGCGGCCGUAACUAUAACGGUCCUAAGGUAGCGAAAUUCCUUGUCGGGUAAGUUCCGACCUGCACGAAUGGCGUAAUGAUGGCCAGGCUGUCUCCACCCGAGACUCAGUGAAAUUGAACUCGCUGUGAAGAUGCAGUGUACCCGCGGCAAGACGGAAAGACCCCGUGAACCUUUACUAUAGCUUGACACUGAACAUUGAGCCUUGAUGUGUAGGAUAGGUGGGAGGCUUUGAAGUGUGGACGCCAGUCUGCAUGGAGCCGACCUUGAAAUACCACCCUUUAAUGUUU